AACGAACGCUGGCGGCAUGCCUAACACAUGCAAGUCGAACGAGACCUUCGGGUCUAGUGGCGCACGGGUGCGUAACGCGUGGGAAUCUGCCCUUGGGUUCGGAAUAACAGUUAGAAAUGACUGCUAAUACCGGAUAAUGUCUUCGGACCAAAGAUUUAUCGCCCAGGGAUGAGCCCGCGUAGGAUUAGCUAGUUGGUGAGGUAAAGGCUCACCAAGGCGACGAUCCUUAGCUGGUCUGAGAGGAUGAUCAGCCACACUGGGACUGAGACACGGCCCAGACUCCUACGGAGGCAGCGGUGGGGAAUAUUGGACAAUAGGGCGAAAGCCUGAUCCAGCAAUGCCGCGUGAGUGAUGAGGCCUUAGGGUUGUAAAGCUCUUUACCCGGGAUGAUAAUGACAGUACCGGGAGAAUAAGCCCCGGCUAACUCCGUGCCAGCAGCC
rnacentral:rRNA from 1 species